CUCUUCUUGAAUUAUUUAGGAAGUAUGACCUGCCCAAUGAUUAUAUUUAAUGGCCGCGGUACCUUGACCGUGCAAAGGUAGCAUAAUCAUUAGUCUUUUAAUUGGAGGCUGGAAUGAAUGGUUGGACGAGAUAAGUACUUUCUUAUCCUUAAGAAUUGAACUUAAUUAUUGAGUUAAAAAGCUUAAAUUUUUUUAUGGGACGAGAAGACCCUAUAGAGUUUAAUAAUUAUAAAUUGAUAAUAAUAUGUAGUGGAAUUUUAAUUAGUAAUUAUUUUGUUGGGGUGAUGAAAAGAUAAAUAUAACUCUUUUUUAUUGUUAAUAUUGAUUUAUAGGCUUUUGAUCCAUUAUUAAUGAUUAGAAGACUAAAUUACCUUAGGGAUAACAGCGUAAUCUUUUCUGAGAGUUCUAAUCGAAGAUAAGGAUUGCGACCUCGAUGUUGGAUUAAAGAUUAGAACUAGGUGUAGCAGCUUAAGUUCUAGGUCUGUUCGACCUUUAAAUUCUUACA
rnacentral:rRNA from 1 species